GUACCUAAGCUAGUUCCAAUCAUAUUAGUUCAUUGUAAUAAUAAGAUUGUGAUAAAACUGACUGAUUAAAAGAAUACUGAUAAAAGAUGAACCGGCAUAUCCAUCUUCACCAUACAUUUAUAUGAUAACUCAAAAGAAAUAAUAUACUUUCUUUGAAAUUUGUCAAAGUCUUAGAAAAACUUGGCAGGUUCACUAACGAAGAGUUUGCCUAGGAGUAAAGUCUUAGAAUCAUCGAGGAGGAAUGGAGGAUAGGGCUUAAGUCCAUUACUUGGUCAUCAACAGUGGAUACCCAACCUUUGUAAUUAGAGAUUCUAUGAAAGAGAAUCAUUAUGGUAAAAACGAAGCUGAUUGAGUGAUCGUAUCUGAGCAUAUUCUUAGAGUAUAUCUUCUUCCAUUUCUAUGACGAACGCUUAUAUCGGUAACAAAAUAAACCCGACAAGUUGAGUUAUACACUUAAUGAGUCCAAAAUAAAAAAUUUGCAAGGUAUUAAAUCACAAAUAUUUUUGGAGGAGAUACUUAUAUGAAAAUAAUGCAGCAACCACUGGAAUAUUACAGAACGAUCUAAGGAGGCUCAUAGCUUAUUCAACUUGCAGUCAUUUAGGCUAUAUGAUCUUUGCUUGCGGCAUCUCUAACUAUUCGGUUAGCGUCUUUCACUUAAUGAAUCAUGCGUUUUUCAAAGCAUUACUCUUCCUGAGUGCAGGUUCGGUGAUUCAUGCCAUGUCGGAUGAGCAAGAUAUGCGAAAGAUGGGGGGGCUUGCCUCCUCGUUUCCUUUGACUUAUGCCAUGAUGCUCAUGGGCAGCUUAUCUCUAAUUGGAUUUCCUUUACCAACUGGAUUUUAUUCCAACGAUGUGUAUAAAUGCAAGGCCGGCCUUUAAGUGGUGCUGACUGUGUAAAGAUCUAAUUGGUCUGUACUGCAUGUGUGAUAUUUCAAAGUCUGAGAUAAAGA